CAAAGCGUAGCUUGUCGAAGACGAUCUUCUUUCAAAGCAUCUUAUUAUGAUUCAUAAACUUAUCUCAUUCGUUGAGAAGGAUCGAGAAUCUCGACUACCGCUCGACACCCUCAUUCUUUCGCACAAGAUACGAAGGCCCGAGGAUUUCAGUGGAACAUUGCAUAUUUCUGUAUCUGCACCAUAACCUAAGUAGAAGGAUCGAGAAUCUCAACUACCGCUCGACACCUUCAUUUUUUUGCACAUUGUAAUACGAAGGACCGAGGAUUUCCGGUGAAAAUCAUUCUGAACACAGGGCCUGCUUCACACGCUUUAGACCUUGGAUGUUCCACGUACAACAGGAUUUACACCUGUCACCUGUUGUUCACCUAUAAUCAGAGCAAACUCUAGUGCUUGAAAGAAAGUCGAACUACGGAGGACCGAGGAUCUCGGCCAGAGUUCGGCGUGAGGACAAGGCCUGCUUCACACGCUUUAGAUCUUGGAUAUUCCACGUACAACAGGAUUUACACCUGUCACCUGUUGUUCACCUAUAAUCAGAGCAAACUCUAAUGCUUGAAAGAAAGUCGAACUACGGAGGACCGAGGAUCUCGGCGAGAGUUCGGCGUGAGGACAAGGCCUGCUUUACACGCUUUAGAUCUUGGAUAUUCCACGUACAACAGGAUUUACACCUGUCACCUGUUGUUCACCUAUAAUCAGAGCAAACUCAAGUGCUUGAAAGAAAGUGGAACAUACAUUUAUAUUUUAUUUUUACUAAUAAUGGAUUUAGCAAAUCUUGAAAUUCGAGAUAUUGAUUUUUUUAAUGGAGAAGAAGAAGAAGACGAAGAAAUACAGUUACGUGCACCGAAACGGUACAUUCGUGAUAAACAAAAUUCAUUUGAAUUUUAUAAUGAAAGAGAAUUCAAAAAAAAAUUUCGAUUUUUAAAGAAUUCCAUUAUGUUUGGUAUUUUACCAUUAGUAGAGGAAGGACUAGCCAAAAUAAAUAAUCGCGGUUUGCCAAUAAGUCCUGUUUUACAAUUAUUGAUAUGCUUUAGGUUCUACGCAACAGCAAGUUUUCAGCUUGUUAUGGGAGACGUGAUACAAAUUUCACAAUCUACAAUAUCAAGAAUUAUUUUU